GACGAACGCUGGCGGCGUGCCUAAUACAUGCAAGUCGAGCGAAGUUUUUCUGGUGCUUGCCCUAGAAAAACUUAGCGGCGAACGGGUGAGUAACACGUAAAGAACCUGCCUCAUAGGCUGGGACAACUAUUGGAAACGAUAGCUAAUACCGGAUAACAGUAUUUCUCGCAUGAGAGAUAUUUAAAAGUUGGUUAUGCUAACACUAUGAGAUGGCUUUGCGGUGCAUUAGCUAGUUGGUGGGGUAAAGGCCCACCAAGGCGACGAUGCAUAGCCGACCUGAGAGGGUGAUCGGCCACACUGGGACUGAGACACGGCCCAGACUCCUACGGGAGGCAGCAGUAGGGAAUCUUCCGCAAUGGGCGAAAGCCUGACGGAGCAACGCCGCGUGAGUGAAGAAGGAUUUCGGUUCGUAAAGCUCUGUUGUUAGGGAAGAAUGGAUAUGUAGUAACUAUACAUGUAAGAGACGGUACCUAACCAGAAAGCCACGGCUAACUACGUG
rnacentral:rRNA from 1 species